rnacentral:rRNA from 1 species
ACCCGCACAAGCAGCGGAGCGUGUGGUUUAAUUCGUUGCUACACGAAGAACCUUACCUGGGUUUGACAUAUAAGUUGUAGGGAACUGAAAAGGGACCGACCUUCGGGGAGCUUAUACAGGUGUUGCAUGGCUGUCGUCAGCUCGUGUCGUGAGAUGUUCGGUUAAGUCCGCUAACGAGCGCAACCCUCGCCGUAUGUUACAAGUGUCAUACGGGACUGCCGGUAAAAGCCGGAGGAAGGUGAGGAUGAUGUCAAGUCAGCAUGACCUUUAUAUCCAGGGCUACACACACGCUACAAUGGUCUGUACAAUUGGUUGCCAAGCCGCGAGGCGGAGCCAAUCCGUAAAGCAGGCCUCAGUUCAGAUUGCAGUCUGCAACUCGACUGCAUGAAGCCGGAGUUGCUAGUAACCGCAGGUCAGCAAUACUGCGGUGAAUACGUUCCCGGGUCUU